AAGUGUCUCAUAUGCACAUUUUUACCUGCACUGACCUCAUUUCCUGCUUAUUCUAUUUGUGGCUCCAGAUGGAAUCUGUCAGUCUCAUUGCAAACAUGUUUGAGGUAAAGCUGCUAAGACAUGGACGUGCCCAACAAGCCCAGAAUAUGGCACACCUCUGAGAUGACUGUCCUCAGCUUCAAGAAGACACAGCCCUGAAUCCAGAAUAUGGGAGUUACCAGCAAGACUGUGGUGAGCUCUGUGCGACUGCCUUCUCUAUCUUCACUAUUCUUAACUCAAAGUUGUGUCAUCAUU
rnacentral:lncRNA from 1 species